rfam:Bacillus halodurans C-125 DNA, complete genome.
CCUUGAAAAAGGCGAGUGUUUGAAAUGGAAAGACGCAAAGCUGCGAGUCUGAAAUCCUUCUGAAUAGGGAUAGUCGAGUUGUCAAA